GGAAUCGCUAGUAAUCGCGGAUCAGCAUGCCGCGGUGAAUACGUUCCCGGGCCUUGUACACACCGCCCGUCACACCAUGAGAGUCGGGAACACCCGAAGUCCGUAGCCUGACCGCAAGGGGGGCGCGGCCGAAGGUGGGUUCGAUAAUUGGGGUGAAGUCGUAACAAGGUAGC
rnacentral:rRNA from 1 species